CGGUGGUGGAUUAGUGGCGAACGGGUGAGUAACACGUGGGCAAUCUGCCCUUCACUCUGGGACAAGCCCUGGAAACGGGGUCUAAUACCGGAUAACACUCUGUCCUGCAUGGGACGGGGUUGAAAGCUCCGGCGGUGAAGGAUGAGCCCGCGGCCUAUCAGCUUGUUGGUGGGGUAAUGGCCUACCAAGGCGACGACGGGUAGCCGGCCUGAGAGGGCGACCGGCCACACUGGGACUGAGACACGGCCCARACUCCUACGGGAGGCAGCAGUGGGGAAUAUUGCACAAUGGGCGAAAGCCUGAUGCAGCGACGCCGCGUGAGGGAUGACGGCCUUCGGGUUGUAAACCUCUUUCAGCAGGGAAGAAGCGAAAGUGACGGUACCUGCAGAAGAAGCGCCGGCUAACUACGUGCCAGCAGCCGCGGUAAUACGUAGGGCGCAAGCGUUGUCCGGAAUUAUUGGGCGUAAAGAGCUCCGUAGGCGGCUUGUCACGUCGGAUGUGAAARCCCGGGGCUUAACCCCGGGUCUGCAUUCGAUACGGGCUAGCUAGAGUGUGGUAGGGGAGAUCGGAAUUCCUGGUGUAGCGGUGAAAUGCGCAGAUAUCAGAGGAACACCGGUGGCGAAGGCGGAUCUCUGGGCCAUUACUGACGCUGAGAGCGAAAGCGUGGGGAGCGA
rnacentral:rRNA from 1 species